rnacentral:rRNA from 1 species
UGCGUCUGAUUAGCUUGUUGGCGGGGUAACGGCCCACCAAGGCAACGAUCAGUAGGGGUUCUGAGAGGAAGGUCCCCCACAUUGGAACUGAGACACGGUCCAAACUCCUACGGGAGGCAGCAGUGAGGAAUAUUGGUCAAUGGGCGAGAGCCUGAACCAGCCAAGUAGCGUGAAGGAUGACUGCCCUAUGGGUUGUAAACUUCUUUUAUAAAGGAAUAAAGUCGGGUAUGCAUACCCGUUUGCAUGUACUUUAUGAAUAAGGAUCGGCUAACUCCGUGCCAGCAGCCGCGGUAAUACGGAGGAUGCGAGCGUUAUCCGGAUUUAUUGGGUUUAAAGGGAGCGUAGGCGGACUAUUAAGUCAGCUGUGAAAGUUUGCGGCUCAACCGUAAAAUUGCAGUUGAUACUGGUCGUCUUGAGUGCAGUAGAGGUAGGCGGAAUUCGUGGUGUAGCGGUGAAAUGCUUAGAUAUCACGAAGAACUCCGAUUGCGAAGGCAGCCUGCUAAGCUGCAACUGACAUUGAGGCUCGAAAGUGUGGGUAUCAAACAGGAUUAGAUACCCUGGUAGUCCACACAGUAAACGAUGAAUACUCGCUGUUUGCGAUAUACAGCAAGCGGCCAAGCGAAAGCGUUAAGUAUUCCACCUGGGGAGUACGCCGGCAACGGUGAAACUCAAAGGAAUUGACGGGGGCCCGCACAAGCGGAGGAACAUGUGGUUUAAUUCGAUGAUACGCGAGGAACCUUACCCGGGCUUGAACUGUAGGCGAACGAUUCAGAGAUGAUGAGGCCCUUCGGGGCGCCUAUGGAGGUGCUGCAUGGUUGUCGUCAGCUCGUGCCGUGAGGUGUCGGCUUAAGUGCCAUAACGAGCGCAACCCUUGUUCGUAGUUGCCAUCGGGUGAUGCCGGGCACUCUGCGAAGACUGCCUCCGUAAGGAGUGAGGAAGGUGGGGAUGACGUCAAAUCAGCACGGCCCUUACGUCCGGGGCUACACACGUGUUACAAUGGCAUGUACAGAAAGCAGGGUGUAUGCAAAUACGCUCGAAUCCCUAAAACAUGUCUCAGUUCGGACUGGGGUCUGCAACCCGACCCCACGAAGCUGGAUUCGCUAGUAAUCGCGCAUCAGCCAUGGCGCGGUGAAUACGUUCCCGGGCCUUGUACACACCGCCCGUCAAGCCAUGAAAGCCGGGGGCGCCUGAAGUCCGUGACCGCGAGGGUCGGCCUAGGGUG